rnacentral:rRNA from 1 species
UACGGAGGUGGCAAGCGUUGUUCGGAUUCAUUGGGUGUAAAGGGCAUGUAGGCGUCCUGCUAAGUUCCGUCUGAAAGCCUCUGGCUCAACCAGAGAAGGUGGCGGAAUACUGGUGGGAUUGAGUGCGAGAGAGGAGAAUGGAAUUCCCGGUGUAAGAGUGAAAUCUGUAGAUAUCGGGAGGAACACCUGUGGCGAAAGCGAUUCUCUGGUUCGCAACUGACGCUGAUAUGCGAAAGCUAGGGGAGCAAACAGG